rnacentral:rRNA from 1 species
CAAUAGCGUAUAUUAAAGUUGUUGCAGUUAAAAAGCUCGUAGUUGGAUUUCUGGUUGAAGCGACCGGUCGGGCGUUGAUUCGUCUGCACUGGAGUCGGUUUUGGCCAUCCUCUAGGAAAGUGCGUCUGGUAUUAAGUUAUCGGGCGUAUGAUCCUGGUCUUUUACUGUGAAAAAAUUAGAGUGUUUAAAGCAGGCCUUCGCCUUGAAUACAUUAGCAUGGAAUAAUAAGAUAGGACUUUGGUCUAUUUUGUUGGUUUGCAGACCGAAGUAAUGAUUAAUAGGGAUAGUUGGGGGUAGUUAUAUUCCGAUGUCAGAGGUGAAAUUCUUAGAUUUUCGGAAGAUAAACUUAUGCGAAAGCAUUUACCAAGGAUGUUUUCAUUAA